AUUGCUUCUUGGCCUUUUGGCUAAGAUCAAGUGUAAUAUCUGUUCUUACCAGUUUAAUAUAUACAAAUUUUCACUUUAUUUAUUUAUUUAUUUUUUGGUACCGAGGAUUGAACUCAGAUCCUUCUGCUUGUGAGGCACGCAGUGGAACCACUGAGCUAAAUCCC
ensembl:snRNA U2 U2 spliceosomal RNA